UACAGAGGGUGCGAGCGUUAAUCGGAAUUACUGGGCGUAAAGCGCGCGUAGGCGGCUUUGCAAGUCGGGUGUGAAAUCCCCAGGCUUAACCUGGGAACUGCAUUCGAGACUGCAUUGCUAGAGUAUGGGAGAGGGAAGUGGAAUUUCCGGUGUAGCGGUGAAAUGCGUAGAUAUCGGAAGGAACAUCAGUGGCGAAGGCGGGUCUCUGGGCCGAUACUGACGCUGAGGAGCGAAAGCGUGGGGAGCGAACAGG
rnacentral:rRNA from 1 species